AACGAACGCUGGCGGCAGGCCUAACACAUGCAAGUCGAGCGAAGCCUUCGGGCUUAGCGGCGGACGGGUGAGUAACGCGUGGGAACGUGCCCUUUGGUACGGAAUAGCCCCGGGAAACUGGGAGUAAUACCGUAUGUGGUCGAGAGACUAAAGAUUAAUCGCCAAAGGAUCGUCCCGCGGUGGAUUAGGUAGGUGGUGGGUUAAUGGCCUACCAAGCCGACGAUCCAUAGCGGGUUUGAGAAGAGGAACAGCCACACUAGGCCUGAAACACGGCCCAGACUCCUACGGGAGGCAGCAGUGGGGAAUCUUAGACAAUGGGGGAAACCCUGUUCUAGCCAUGCCGCGUGAUCGAUGAAGGCCUUAGGGUUGUAAAGAUCUUUCAGUGGGGAAGAUAAUGACUGUACCCACAGAAGAAGCCCCGGCUAACUCCGUGCCAGCAGCCGCCGUAACAC
rnacentral:rRNA from 1 species